UUCUCAACAGUGAAGAGAUAAGUAAUAUCGUGAGCACACUAAGAGAAUCUAUGUUUGGUGAAAGUAGAUUGCGCGAUGAUAUGAAAAUGGUCUUGGAGAGAUACGCCAUGGUGAGCAUACGCUAAUGCGUUGUGAGCAAUGACCGGGUGUGCCCGUUAUAGCAACAGCAAUUCCUAUCUUUAAAUUUUUUAAAGCAUGGCGAUUGUAUGAGGUAUGUUUUUAAACAUACAAAUACCGGGUGGUAACACGAUAAGUCGUCCCGCAG
rnacentral:ncRNA from 1 species